rnacentral:misc_RNA from 1 species
AGCAGCCGCGGUAAUUCCAGCUCCAAUAGCGUAUAUUAAAGUUGUUGCAGUUAAAAGCUCGUAGUUGAAUUUCGGGGUUAGCAGGUCGGUCGUGCCAUCGGUAUGAACUGGUCUCGCUGAUCCCUCCCUCUUGACGAACUGUGAUGCCAUUAAUUUGGUGUCGCAGGGAAUCAGGACUGUUACUUUGAAAAAUUAGAGUGUUUAAAGCAGGCUCACGCUUGAAUACAUUAGCAUGGAAUAAUGAAAUAGGACGUUUGAUCCUAUUUUGUUGGUUUCUAGGAUCGACGUAAUGAUUAAUAGGGAUAGUUGGGGGCAUUAGUAUUCAAUUGUCAGAGGUGAAAUUCUUGGAUUUAUUGAAGACUAACUACUGCGAAAGCAUUUGCCAAGGAUGUUUUCNUUAAUCAAGAACGAAAGUUAGGGGAUCGAAGACGAUCAGAUACCGUCGUAGUCUUAACCAUAAACUAUGCCGACUAGGGAUCGGAUGAUGUUAAUUUUUAAU